UACGUAGGGUGCGAGCGUUGUCCGGAAUUAUUGGGCGUAAAGAGCUCGUAGGCGGUGUGUCGCGUCGGCCGUGAAAACCUGCAGCUUAACUGUGGGCUUGCGGUCGAUACGGGCAUCACUGGAGUUCGGCAGGGGAGACUGGAAUUCCUGGUGUAGCGGUGAAAUGCGCAGAUAUCAGGAGGAACACCGGUGGCGAAGGUGGGCCUCUGGGCCGAUACUGACGCUGAGGAGCGAAAGCGUGGGGAGCGAACAGG
rnacentral:rRNA from 1 species